UAGGGACAAUGAAUUUACCCCUGACGAAACAUUCCUAGUUAGCAGACUCAGCUUAAAAAGUAGCAGAACAUCGCUCGUCAACCAAGAUAAAAUAUAUGUAUAAUUACGCUACGCAUCUACAAAUAAAGCUCAACAUAUACAUCAUAAAGCGCUUCUGAUAGAAUACAGACUGUUGAAAAUUCAAAAGGGACCGUUUUUUUCACCAACUUACCUCCGAAUAUACUUUACAGCCAUUCUUAUGAAUGCGGUCCGCUCUCGUCGAAGCCAUGUUUGGAACUACACGGAAGCAAAAUCGUAUAAUACAUCUCUAUGGGAGUGUCGUAACCCUCUUUCUAAGGCCCUGGUCGGGAGUGGUGUGAUUUAGGUCACAUGAGCCAAUCAGGUAGCCGCUUUCUCCUCACCAUAACAACCAGAUAUUAACAAUGGCGACUACAACAUUGGAGAGUGAAGAAGAGCGAAUGGAGAAAAAAGUUAAAAAGAAAGUGCAUAAAGUGGGAAAUAAACAAUGCUACAUGCAUCUUUUUUCUUUGAAGAAUGAGGACGUUUUGGACUUCACUUAUCAACGGUGGAACACGUAGAGAACCUGCUUAAAAAGUGGCUUUGUCUUCAUGGCACUAACAAGUAUCUUGCAGAAAUAUACCAGCAUUGCGUGGAUAUGGAUUUUGAAAAUAUUCCUGGCGACGCUGGAUUCCACACUACAUGCUACCGGCGUUUUACUGAUAAACAGAAAUUGUUGAAGGCGAGCCAUUCUGACGCCCCUGCGAGUACUAUCGAAGUUGCAGAAGCGUCUAAAAAAACUUCAUUCCCGUUCAGGUUUGCCCAUCGCUUCUGCUGGCCCUGUCCUUCCAGCCAUCUGCAUCAUUUGUAUUAAAAAAAAAAAAAAAAACAAACAAAAAAAAAGUUUCAAAGUAUGCUCGUUUGGGAUCGGAAGGCAAACGGCAGAGGGAUCAUCUCGCCAAAGCAGAGACAUUGUCGGCAGGCCGGUUGCUGCAGGCAGCAGAGAUGAAGACUCUUCAAUCCUUCUACAUAUCAAAGACAAAGACUGUGUUGCAAUGGAGGUGCGAUACCAUAAAUUCUGUUACCGAGAUUACACCAGGUUCCUAACCAAGUCAACAGCAACAGAAACUGCAACGAGGGAUGAAGAAAUACAACCCUAUGCUGAGAGCUACAAACUCUUGUGAACAAGUGAUCCGUCAAAGGAUUAUCGUUGACAAAGAUGUGCUCAGAAUGGACAAGCUAAGAAGGUUGUUCGUGAACACCGUGAAGAACCAUGAGGAUUUUGAUGCUUCAAACGACAGGUAGGUUUUGCUGAAAAGAAGAUUGAAGCGUGACUUCCCCCAGUUGGUCUUUCACACCCCUUUCCAGCGCAACAUGUCUGAAAUGUUUUUUUUUUUUUUUUUUUUGAGACAUUAUCAACAACAAACUUUUAGACAGGAUACCUCAGUCAUCGGGUACAUCAGCUACCGAAUCUACUGAGGUAAGCCAAGAAAGUGACACUGAACAAAUGGCUAGCACAACAUCUGGUUGGAAAACCAGCUCUUGGCCCCAGUGUUUGUUCUGCCCUCAUUGGCAUCCAUACAUUCACAGGUUGUGACUCAACCAGUGCCUUUCAUGGCAAGGGCAAAACAAAGAUAUUUUCUCUUGCUUGUCAGCAAGAAGAAUACCUGACUGCAUUUACAGAUCUGGGUAGUAGUUUUAACCUUGACCAGUCUACAUUUGAGGCAUUGAGCAAAUAUGUGUGCCAUCUGUAUGGCCAGUCAACUGCCAAAAAUGUCAACGAUGCAAGAUACAAGGCAUUCUGUACGGCAUCGUCAACUUUACCAGAACUGUCCAUUCCUCCAACAAGUGAUGCUCUCUUCCAACACAGCAAAAGGGCAAACUACCGAGCAGCAGUAAUGCGAAUGGAUGACUAGAAAUCCUGCCCCAGAUAGUGUGCUACAGGUAGUCCACUGUGGUUGCAAGAUAAUCAAGUGUGAGACUGAAAGAUGUUCAUGCUUGUCUACAAAAAUGUCUUGUACAGAUUUACAGUGGGGAGAACAAGUAUUUGAUACACUGCCAAUGGGUUGCCAAUGGGAAAACCCAUUGGCAGUGUAUCAAAUACUUGUUCUCCCCACUGUAUGCCACUGCCAGAACUGUGAAAAUAUUUCAAAGGAAACAGAAAGAGGCACAUGGGAUAAUGACACUGAUGAAUAAUCACCCACUAUGUAAAAUCUAUCCUAUGUUUUGAUUCAUUAUCAAGAUGGUACUCUCCAUUUAACACUUUUAAAACAAAAAAAAAUUCUGUAUUCCCUUUUCCCAAAACAUAGACCUUUGUUCAAUUUGACUGGCAAAAAAGAUGGAUGUUCCAAUGAAGUGCCAUGGUUUUAUUGUGAAUGCACAUUUGAUAUAUAUAUAUACAUAUAUACAUACAGUGCCUUGCAAAAGUAUUCGGCCUCCUUGAACCUUGCAACCUUUCGCCACAUUUCAGGCUUCAAACAGAAAGAUAAAAUUUUAAUUUUUUGUCAAGAAUCAACAACAAGUGGGACACAAUCGUGAAGUGGAACAAAAUUUAUUGGAUAAUUUAAACUUUUUUAACAAAUAAAAAACUGAAAAGUGGGGCGUGCAAUAUUAUUCGGCCCCCUUGCGUUAAUACUUUGUAGCGCCACCUUUUGCUCCAAUUACAGCUGCAAGUCGCUUGGGGUAUGUUUCUAUCAGUUUUGCACAUCGAGAGACUGACAUUCUUGCCCAUUCUUCCUUGCAAAACAGCUCGAGCUCAGUGAGGUUGGAUGGAGAGUGUUUGUGAACAGCAGUCUUCAGCUCUUUCCACAGAUUCUCCAUUGGAUUCAGGUCUGGACUUUGACUUGGCCAUUCUAACACCUGGAUACGUUUAUUUUUUAACCAUUCCAUUGUAGAUUUGGCUUUAUGUUUUGGAUCAUUGUCCUGUUGGAAGAUAAAUCUCCGUCCCAGUCUCAGGUCUUGUGCAGAUACCAACAGGUUUUCUUCCAGAAUGUUCCUGUAUUUGGCUGCAUCCAUCUUCCCGUCAAUUUUAACCAUCUUCCCUGUCCCUGCUGAAGAAAAGCAGGCCCAAAGCAUGAUGCUGCCAGUCUAGUGAUGGCAAAAUGAAGCCCCAUGAAGCAGUGAAGCCCUGCAGGGAAAUGCGUCACACACACCUAGGGGCUUCAAGAGGAUUGAUUACCUCGACUACGCCAUCAUGUGGACAGAAAAAUGUAUAACAUGCUUGGUGCAUGAAUCAUGCUCUGAUUACAAAGAAAAUACAUAUUUUAAGUUUAACAUGAAUUAUUGUGUGUUACUUUGUCUAUGUGCAUAUGAAACAAGUGAAAAUGUGAAAUGAGGCAAAAUGUGCUUACUCAUUUUUAUUUAGAAACAAUAUUUUUUCCAAAGUUUUUGGACUCAGGCGGUUUCUUUUUUUGCAGAGAAUUUCACCUGCUUUUGAAAAAACUCUUUCACAUGGCACUGAUGAAGCAGGGGUGCAUAGAUAGGAUACAGCAAGUUUGUAUAAAGUUGGAAGUGUAUAUUUCUGUGAUUCCCAGUACUGAAGGGGACUUUCAACUCGGGGGAUGUUUGGUGCUCCCAGAUACUUUUGCACCUCAACUGUUGCAUUUGCCGUGACAUUUGUGGUUCUUGCUUGAUGGACUGAGGCAUCAAAAUGAUGCCACAGUUUGCUUCCUAGGAAAGAAACAGAUAUUAGUAAUUAUUUAAUAUUAGAACAAUUAGGAAAUAUUAAAUACCUCCAACAGACUGGGAAGGUUCUGAUGAUGACGACGACGAUGAUAAUGAUGAUGAAGUAGAUGAGGCUGUGCGGCUCAUGAUAGCUGCGCAUUCCAUCGUGAGCCUUUUUUCUGCCUCUGCUGCUUUACUGGGACUGAAGAAGCCUACUUUUUUAAACCUUGGGUCAAGCAGAGUAGCCAGAAACAAUGCUCAUAGACUGGAGUUGGUUCAGCUUCUCUCUUAGUUGUCUUUGCAGAAACUCAACCAUGGAUGUGCUCU